UAGUGGCGCACGGGUGCGUAACACGUAUGCAACCUACCUAUUAUUGGGGGAUAGCCUUUGGAAACGGAGAUUAAUACCGCAUAAUACGAUUGACUGGCAUCGGUUGAUUGUUAAAGCUUUGGCGAUAAUAGAUGGGCAUGCGUCCAAUUAGUUAGUUGGUUAGGUAACGGCUGACCAAGACGAUGAUUGGUAGGGGAUCUGAGAGGAUAAUCCCCCACACUGGCACUGAGAUACGGGCCAGACUCCUACGGGAGGCAGCAGUAGGGAAUAUUGGGCAAUGGGCGGAAGCCUGGCCCAGCCAUGCCGCGUGCAGGAAGAAGGCGUUAUGCGUUGUAAACUGCUUUUUUAUAGGAAGAAGGAUCCCUUGCGAGGGAAGGUGACGGUACUAUAAGAAUAAGCACCGGCUAACUCCGUGCCAGCAGCCGCGGUAAUACGGAGGGUGCAAGCGUUGUCCGGAUUUAUUGGGUUUAAAGGGUGCGUAGGCGGUUUAUUAAGUCAGUGGUGAAAGACGGUCGCUCAACGAUUGCAGUGCCAUUGAUACUGGUAGACUUGAGUGAG
rnacentral:rRNA from 1 species